UACGUAGGGGGCGAGCGUUGUCCGGAAUUAUUGGGCGUAAAGAGCGUGUAGGCGGUUCGGUAAGUCUGCCGUGAAAACCUGGGGCUCAACCCCGGGCGUGCGGUGGAUACUGCCGGGCUAGAGGGUGGUAGAGGCGAGUGGAAUUCCCGGUGUAGCGGUGAAAUGCGCAGAUAUCGGGAGGAACACCGGUGGCGAAGGCGGCCUCUCGCG
rnacentral:rRNA from 1 species